GACAGAGGGGGCAAGCGUUGCUCGGAAUCACUGGGCGUAAAGGGCGCGUAGGCGGGAUGGCAAGUCGGUCGUGAAAUCCUUCGGCUCAACCGAAGAACGUCGGCCGAUACUGCCGUUCUUGAGGGAUGCAGAGGAGAUUGGAAUUCCCGGUGUAGCGGUGAAAUGUGUAGAGAUCGGGAGGAACACCGGUGGCGAAGGCGGGUCUCUGGGCAGUAACUGACGCUGAGGAGCGAAAGCGUGGGGAGCGAACAGG
rnacentral:rRNA from 1 species